rnacentral:rRNA from 1 species
GAUGAACGCUGGCGGCGUGCCUAAUACAUGCAAGUCGAGCGAACAGACGAGGAGCUUGCUCCUCUGACGUUAGCGGCGGACGGGUGAGUAACACGUGGAUAACCUACCUAUAAGACUGGGAUAACUUCGGGAAACCGGAGCUAAUACCGGAUAAUAUAUUGAACCGCAUGGUUCAAUAGUGAAAGACGGUUUUGCUGUCACUUAUAGAUGGAUCCGCGCCGCAUUAGCUAGUUGGUAAGGUAACGGCUUACCAAGGCAACGAUGCGUAGCCGACCUGAGAGGGUGAUCGGCCACACUGGAACUGAGACACGGUCCAGACUCCUACGGGAGGCAGCAGUAGGGAAUCUUCCGCAAAGGGCGAAAGCCUGACGGAGCAACGCCGCGUGAGUGAUGAAGGUCUUCGGAUCGUAAAACUCUGUUAUUAGGGAAGAACAAAUGUGUAAGUAACUAUGCACAUCUUGACGGUACCUAAUCAGAAAGCCACGGCUAACUACGUG